rnacentral:rRNA from 1 species
CCUGCGGAGGGAUCAUUACUGAGUUAUCUAAACUCCCAACCCUUUGUGAACCUUACCGUCGUUGCCUCGGCGGGCUGUACUUACCCUGUAGCUACCCUGUAGCUACCCGGUAGGUGCGCUCCAAGCCCGCCGGUGGACCACUAAAUUCUAUUUUACUACUGUAUCUCUGAAUGCUUCAACUUAAUAAGUUAAAACUUUCAACAACGGAUCUCUUGGUUCUGGCAUCGAUGAAGAACGCAGCGAAAUGCGAUAAGUAAUGUGAAUUGCAGAAUUCAGUGAAUCAUCGAAUCUUUGAACGCACAUUGCGCCCAUUAGUAUUCUAGUGGGCAUGCCUAUUCGAGCGUCAUUUCAACCCUUAAGCCUAGUUGCUUAGUGUUGGGAAUCUGCCCUGUAUUUAUAGGGCAGUUCCUUAAAGUGAUCGGCGGAGUUAGGGCAUACUCUAAGCGUAGUAAUAUUCUUCUCGCUUCUGUAGUUGUCCUGGCGGCUUGCCGUUAAACCCCUAUAUUUCUAGUG